rnacentral:rRNA from 1 species
GGAGUUUGGGCCGUGUCUCAGUCCCAAUGUGGCCGAUCACCCUCUCAGGUCGGCUAUGGAUCGUAGGCUUGGUGGGCCGUUACUCCGCCAACUACCUAAUCCAACGCGGGCCCAUCGUAUGCCGAUAAAUCUUUUCACACUGUACCAUGCGGUACUGUGCGCUUAUGCGGUAUUAGCAGCCGUUUCCAGCUGUUGUCCCCCUGCAUACGGCAGGUUGCCCACGCGUUACUCACCCGUCCGCCACUCGUCAGCAGAGAUGGUUGCCCAUCCCCCUGUUACCGUUCGACUUGCAUGUAUUAGGCCUGCCGCCAGCGUUCAAU